rnacentral:rRNA from 1 species
AUACGAAGGGGGCUAGCGUUGUUCGGAAUUACUGGGCGUAAAGCGCGCGUAGGCGGACUGAUCAGUUGGGGGUGAAAUCCCAGGGCUUAACCCUGGAACUGCCCCCAAUACUGUCAGUCCUGAGUUCGGGAGAGGUGAGUGGAAUUCCUAGUGUAGAGGUGAAAUUCGUAGAUAUUAGGAAGAACACCAGUGGCGAAGGCGGCUCACUGGCCCGAUACUGACGCUGAGGCGCGAAAGCGUGGGGAGCAAACAGGAUUAGAUACCCUAGUAGUCC